CAGGAAGCCAGCUGUAAUAAUGAUGGUUGGUGUUAAUGGUGAAGGGAAGACUACAUCUUUGGGAAAGCUGGCCUAUAGAUUGAAGAAUGAAGGGGCUAAGAUAUUGAUGGCAGCUGGUGAUACAUUUAGAGCAGCUACUAGUGAUCAGUUGGAAAUAUGGGGCGAAAGGACUGUGUGUGAGAUUGUUGUGGCU